GAUGAACGCUAGCUACAGGCUUAACACAUGCAAGUCGAGGGGCAGCAGGGAUUUAGCUUGCUAAAUCCGCUGGCGACCGGCGCACGGGUGCGUAACGCGUAUCCAACUUUCCCGUUACUCAGGGAUAGCCUUCCGAAAGGGAGAUUAAUACCUGAUGGUGUUUGAAAUUCGCAUGUUCUUCAAACUAAAGAUUUAUCGGUAACGGAUAGGGAUGCGUGACAUUAGAUAGUAGGCGGGGUAACGGCCCACCUAGUCUACGAUGUCUAGGGGUUCUGAGAGGAAGGUCCCCCCAGACUGGAACUGAGACACGGUCCAGACUCCUACGGGAGGCAGCAGUGAGGAAUAUUGGUCAAUGGUCGGAAGACUGAACCAGCCAAGUAGCGUGAAGGAUGAAGGUUCU
rnacentral:rRNA from 1 species